rnacentral:rRNA from 1 species
GAAAAGAACUUUGAAAAGAGAGUUAAACAGUACGUGAAAUUGUUGAAAGGGAAACGAUUGAAGCCAGUCGUACCGACGGAAAAUCAACUUCUCGGGUGCUAAUCGUGGGUGACGUUGAGCCUUACGGUCUUCGUUGCUUGUGUUGUUGGUACCUUUGGAGUGUACUUUUUCGUAUGGUAGGUCAACAUCGAUUUUGAUCGUCAUAAAAUGAUCGGAGGAAUGUAGCUUUGAUUUCGAUCGAAGUGUUAUAGCCUUUGGUAGAUGUGACGAUUGGGAUCGAGGAUUGCAACGAAUACCCUUUGGGCUUAUCCGUCUGACCUCUGAAAGUCGCUUGGGUGUCGAAAGCUUGCUUAUGACUAUUCAAGUUGGCGGUCAACAGGUUAGAACGCGAUUACAUUCG